CCCCCGCCCGGCUCCGGGCGGGACCCCGGCCGGACCUGGAGGACCCCAGCUCUGGGAGAACCUGCCGCGAGGCCCUGGCCGGAGUGGGAGGCCGCCCCGCGACGCGGCCCCUGAUGGAGCCCGGCCCAGACCCUCUCGGCUCCGAUGCUGGUCCCCAGCCGCCACCCGAGCGCCCAGGGACCGGCCCCGGGGGGGCCCUCCCAGCCCCGCCGCGGGCCUCGCCCUCCCUGGGCGCCGCCCCCUCCCUCCUCGGAUGUGAGGAAGGAGCUGGGGAGCCCUUCGGUGCCUGGACCAGACCUCGUCCAUGUUCAGGGCAACCAGAUGCUCUGGCAGGAACCUGCGCCCCCUCUUCUGUUCCGAAGGCUCCAUCCCUCCGCCCCCCGCUCACAGGAGCCCUUGCCCACCUCGACUCCCUCCAGCUGGAAAUCCCCCUUUUCCCAGAACCUGGAGAACGAUGAGGAAGGAACCCAGGUGUCUCCGGAGCCAGAUGGGGGAGUCAACACCAGGGAUUCUGGCCGAACAUCCUCUGUCCGCAGCUCCCAGUGGUCCUUCAGUACCAUCAGCAACAGCACCCAGCGCUCCUACAAUGCCUGUUGCAGCUGGACUCAGCACCCUUUGAUCCAGAAGAACCGAAAGGUAGUGCUGGCCUCCUUCCUGCUGCUGCUGCUGGGGUUGGACUCUGGCUGCUUGGUGACCCAGACUACAACCUCAGAGUGAGCAGCUGCAGCAGAAAAUGUGCUCCUCAGCCUCAAAUCUUGACUAUCCAGCCCUUUACAGAAAACAUAUGCCACCCCUGGAGCUGAAGUACGGCAGCAAUCAUCUCAGUUUUUAUUUUAUCUACCUCAGUGUAAGAGAGACACAUCGACUGGUUGCCUCCCGCACGCACUCUGACCUGGGCCAGGGAUUGAACCUGCAACCCAGGUACAUGCCCUUGGCUGGGAAUUGAACUUGUGACCCUUUGGUUCUCGGGCCGGCACUCUCACCACUGGGCAACACCAGCAGGGCUACAUUAGAACUUUAAACGUUUGAUUGGGGGUCUGUCAAAGGGUUCCUCCCUCCCUUCCACUCUCUCAGAAAAGCAAUGGAAAAAGUAUCCUCAGGUGAGGAUCAACAACAACAAAACUGAAGCCUCCCCUCCCGCCUUCCAUUUUGCUUUGUCUAUUAUUUCAGUCCCUUCUUGUUUUUAAAUCCCCCAAAUAAAAUUUGUAAAGUAAAUGCUUCUUUAAAUCCACCAA